rnacentral:lncRNA from 1 species
GCGAGAGCCAAGGCUUCUGGUCAGGGCAGCGGUACAGAGACAAACAGAGGCCUUUGGACUGGGGACCCCAGGCCCGGCCAAAGGAGAGAGACUUGCACCCAAAGCAAGGGCGUUAAGGGACCACGUACUCAUCGAAUGUCAGGACCCCCGGCCUCCCUCUCCCACCCAGAAACCAGCCCGCUGGCCGCUGGCCCUACCUACCCCCUCUGGAACAAAGUCCUCAAGGUUGUUUUCUGUGACCUCUGACCAGCCUCAGUGGAGAAGUCCCAGGGCCCUCUGGAGUCCCCAGGAAACAGCCCACCCGGACCAGCCCGCAGUGAGCUCCCAGCUGAGAAGGCCCCUCUUCCUGCUCCCCUGCUUCCUGCCCAGCUGAGAAGCCCCUCGGAGCUGCCAUCUGGCAUUCCGGCCGCCGUCCCUGAAAUAUGGACAGACAACCAAGGGUCCCAGCACACCGUCCCUGUCUGUCCCAGCACAAAAGCAAAACCAGAAAAUUUGAAAUUGCCUUUGUGGACCUCAUUCUGUGUCCCUUGCCACCUCACACCCACGACCUUCUCCUGCUCCCUGCCGCCGCCCCAACCACCACCUUCAGCGGUCACAUCCUGGCUGGAACUCAUGUUUGACCACCUCUGAGAUAAUCACACAGACGGCCCCUCUCCUGGCCCAGCUUCCUCCCUGCAUUCCAGCACCUGCACUCAAAUCCUCCCAACUGACCUCCUCCUCCACUGCCACUGCUCGCUUGCUUGCCAAUCCUCACUCUUUUGCCCCAUUCCUUAGUCUAAGCCACCGGGCAAGUCCCCCACCCUGGCUCAAUCCACGGGCGGAGCAGGGCUGGAGGAGAGCACGCAACCCCACAGAGCAGCACGCUGCUCGUUCAGGUUCUCCGGUCCCGGCUGGCCUCUCUGGGCUGCAUCCCUGGGGUUUCCCCAACCUGCUGUCCCUCCUGUUCUCGCAGUGACAGCCUGCAGAGUCCUUGCUUUCACGAGCCUGGCCUGCCCCGCCCCCUCUCUGCAGAAAGCCCCACCUCCCCCAGCGGAGAACCCCGAGGUGGGAACCCCACGUGCCCCUUCACUGAAACUUAGCAACACCUGCCGCUGUCCGCCCUGCGAGGGCUCCCAUUUACAACAACAGCAGCCCUCCUCCUGGGCUCUGGGAUCUGACCUGGCUCCCCGGCUUUCUCCGAUCCCAUCUUCUCCAGCUCCACGGCACCUUCAAACCUACCAGUUCCUUCCCAUCAACAUUUAAAUAAGCCACGUUUCUACAGUCUUAAAAAACAAAACCCAGCCUUCCCCUCAACCCCUAUCCUUCCACAGGUACUGCAACCUGAGCAGGGCCCCGUGGGGCUCCUGGGCACAAAACCCUUUCUGUGCCCCUCAUUUCCUGUUUUUAGGAAAUGGGCCUCCUUUUGCCUCCAUGGCCUUCCCUUGGUCCUUAGGGGCAGGUUCCGACAGCUGCUGAUCCGGGGAGGGAGGGGAAGCAGAGACAAGGAACAGUCUGGCAACAACAGCGCAGCCUGGGGGCAGGAUCCUGGGUCCCUCUCAAGGGAUACACACAAUGACGUAGGCACCUCACACACCUACAACUUAUGUGCCUGAUGCUUCUUUUAGAAAUGAGAACUUUAAACCUGAACAGGUUGGAGCCCCUCCUGUGCUCCUCCCUCCCUCGUUCGAUUGCACCCGAAACGCAGUCACCUGGGAGCUAACGAUUACACACCCUGCGCACAAUUGCCUGUGAGUUCAAGAUGAUUAGCACAAGAUGUUUUUCAGGAGCUUUCCUAGUUUGUUCUAGUCUCUGAUCAAUAUGCCCUUUUCGCAAGUACUGCUACUCUAGGCGAUAACCCAGAAGACCACCCCCAGGAUCCUGUCAAGAUCUCCUGACCCCAGCUUCGUGAGGAAGAUUCGCUAAAAAAAAAAAGAGCGCAUGUCUGCCCCAAUCCUGAUUCUUAUCUUAAACCCUGUUUUUCUCUUCUAGGCUAUAAAACUCCCUGCAAUUCUUCCCCCAGGGAGGGGGCACAGUCUUUAAGGCAUUAGUUGCUGUGGCCUCCUUUACCUGGCAAAGCAAGAAAAGCUAUUUUUUUUUUCCUUCACCCAAAACUCUGUCUCCGCGUUUCGGGACCAGUGGACAGAGGCCAAGUUUCGGCAACAGUACCACACUCUGUGCCCCUUACACAGCCUACCUGCUGCAAAGAAUCUUCCUCCUGAAUCCCCUCCCUUUCUUUUCCUCCCAUUCUUCAGUCCCUGAGAGCUGGCUCCCACCCUCCCUCUAAAUCCGCGUUCAUCAAGCUGGCCGGGACCUCGUGGGGACUUGCAGCUAACCCCGAGGACCUCCUCGGCCUUAUCCUCGGAUCUCUCCGCGUGUCUUAGCAUCCCCGUGGCCUCCCCCUGCCCUCCUGGGACACUCUCCCCCUGGCUCCUGAACCCCCUCUUGUCAGCGCUGCCUUUCCCCCCAGGACCCCUUUGGAGGUCGCGUGCCGCCGGGUGCUGGAGACCCAGCAAAGCAUCUGCUUCCCAUGCAGCCCCCUGAUGUGGGGGCCCCUCAAGGUUUUUCACACCCAACACACUGGCCCUGGGUGACCUCACCCACUGCACAGCUUCAGCUCUUCCGGAAGCUGAGGACACCGCUCCACUGCCUGAGCCAGAACUGCUCGUCCUCCCUCAGCCUGACUUUCCAACAGCCAACCAGUAACUUUUUUAUCACCAUAAGCAAAGUUCAAGAAUUGCAAUCUCUCCGGCAAGUGUCGUUCAAUGAUAAAUGGCAACUGAGGUUUGGCCUCCUGUUGAGUGACAAAGUGUGUGGUCCACCUAAAGGAGCCAUUGCUGAAGUUCCCAGGCAUCAGCAGAAACAAAUCCGACUAGGAACCAUGAGGUGGCCGGUUCGAUCCCUGGCCUCGCUCAAUGGGUUAAGGAUCCAGCAUUGAUGUGAGCUGUGGUGUAAGUUGAACACGAGGCUCAGAUCCCAUGUUGCUGUGGCUGUGGCAUAGGCCAGCAGCUGUAGCACCAAUUAGACCCCUAGCCUGGGAACUUCCAUAUGCCACAGGUGCAGCCCUAAAAAUCAAAAAAUAAAAAUAAAACAAAGGAGCCAUUGCUGGAGUUCCCGCUGUGGCUCAGCAGGUUAAGAACAGGACAUGAGGUCUGUGAGGAUGCGGUUUCGAUCCCUGACCUUGCUCAGUGGGUUAAGGAUCUGGCGUUGCCGAAAGCUGUGGUAAAGGUUGCAGAUGCAGCUCGGAUACGGCAUUGCUGUGGGUGUGGUGUGGGCUAGUAGCUGCAGCUCUGAUUAAACCCCUAGCCCAGGAACUUCCACAUGCCAUAGGUGCAUCCAUAAAAGGGGAAAAAAAAAAGACCUCACGAAAAAGAGAUCAGGGAGUUCCCUUGUGGUGCUGUGAGUUAAGGAUGCAACAUAGAUCGCAGCUACAGCUUGGAUUCUGUCCCCUGUCCAGGAAAUUCCAUAAUCAGCAGGCAUGGCUCUAAAUAGAAAAAAAAAAA